CCCUGCUCCCCCUAGCCUGGGGACGGUCAAAGCAGGAGACUGGAGGCCAACGGACACCUGUUGCCUCCCUUGAUCCUGGCGGGUCCCCCUCUCAGGUGUCAGCACCCCGACAAUCUGGGAUGAGACACGGCGAGCCUCCCCCCCUCCGACCGCCAACCUCUUCCCCUGUGCCCCUCCCUGAACCCUAUCUUGUCUUUCCUCUUCUGGGCCCUUAUCUCCCAGCCCAGACCUUUAUCAGGCCUCAACUCUUUCACCCUCACAGGGGAGCAGGAGGGGAGGCACCCUUGUACCGAUGCCCACAGGCUUUUCAAGGGGACGCAGGAAAGGUUUAGGGGAGACACCAAGAAGCGCCUGGAACAGGUGAUAAGGGAAAGUUCAGGACUCUGCCUUUGUGCUUGAGAAAUACACCGGUGCCUCCCUGCUUCGCGCCUGCGUUCAUCACGUUACUCUCAUUGCUCAGAAACUCCCAGCGGCUGUCCCCUCCCCUGCUGGCUGCAGAAAGGCCUAACUCCUCGGCACCCAAGGCCCACUACAGCACAUCCUCAUUUACCUUUUGAAGGUCAUAUCCCACUGCUCUGUCUCCAGGAAAGAACAGCUGACCCCAGCUGCAGCCAUCUCCUGGGGUCCGAACACGCUCUCUCCAGAGCCCCGCGUCUGGGAACCACGAGAGAAGGGUACGUGUUCCUUGCUUACAGAGUAAACAUCUGUCCGUAGCGUGGAGAAAAAAACUGAAAACCACUGCUGUGGGAGCAGCUAAGAAGGGUCUCUCCGAGGACAGUAUACACUUGGACUCAAACUCCCGAGGCUCAGAGGCUUCACAGGUGUCUGCACACCUUGCUUUAGGGAAAGAGGCACAGGUGAUGUGAUUGAGUGUCCGACUCUCCAUUUUGGCUCAGGUCAUGAUCCCAGGGUCAUGGGACUGAGCCCCACAUUGGGCUCUGAACUGAGCGUGGAGCCUGCUUAAGAUCCUCUCUCUCUCUCUCUCUCUCUCUCUCUCUCUCUCUCUCUCUCUCUCAUUCCCCCUCUGCCCCUCUCCCCUUUGUGCUCACACACUCUCUCUCUCGUAAAAAAAAAGUUGGAAAUAAUAAAUUUGGCUAACAGGGCUCCUAACCAUGAUGUACUGAGUCCUUGAUUAAUCUCGACAAUAUGAACUUGCAUAGGGAUAUUAGACUCUCCCACACCCUUUGUUCUAGAAGACCGGGGUUCUUUCUGAUCACGUCUCAUUUUACCUCCUCCGUGGCCCAGAGACGCCAGGAGGGGCACCACUGUCCUGUUUGCCAGCCCCGAGAAGCCCAGCCUUGCCAGAGUCACCCUGUGAGGGAGCGCCCCGUGAAGCCUGGGAAGGUUUCCGGUGGUUAGGAGCCAGGAAGUGAUGUGACCCCUGUCUCAAAAGGCCUAGAGGCACUGGCUCUCCCAGCCUGCCCUUGGUCUCCUCCCGCCUUGACUUCAGUGCAAACUCCCCCUGUCCACAAGGCACUCGGUUUACCUCUGGAACCCGGCUGCUACUUCCGACGGGGAGAAAGAGGCCAAAGAAGGCAACGCAGGCUGUGACUGCAGACCAGGCCUCCUUUCCCUCGGGAAAAGUCAGAGCUCGAGCGAGAAGAGGAGCAGGUGAAUCUACCCAUCAGCUCUACGGACCAUUUCCUCUGAAAUGCCCGGCCUCCCCCGGUAAGGUCCUCUCCAGUGAGAGCUGGCCAACAUCCCCACAUCCCAGGCAAA